AGUGAACGCUGGCGGUAUGCCUUACACAUGCAAGUCGAACGGCAGCACAGUCUUCGCUUUCUCUUCCGGUUGCCAACUGGCGUACAUUUUAUCUAUACAUCCCUUUCUACUUUUUCUUGCGUGAUUACGUUUUCUCACUUACCCUAUUUCCUCUUACCACCUACGCUUGAAAUCAUUGGAUCUUCGGACCUUUCGCGUUUCAAUAUCCCGAUUUCUGAUUAGCUAGUUGGCGGGGUAAAGUCCCACCAAUGCGACGAUCUGUAGAUGGUCUGAGAGGAUGAUCAGCCACACUGGAACUGAGACACGGUCCAGACUCCUACGGGAGGCAGCAGUGGGGAAUAUUGGACAAUGGGGGCAAGCCUGAUCCAGCAAUACCGCGUGAGUGAAGAAGGCCUUCGGGUUGUAAAGCUCUUUUGGUGGGAAAGAAAAGGAGUAGGAUAAUACCCCGAGGGGAUGACGGUACCGAAAGAAGAAGCACCGGCUAACUACGUG
rnacentral:rRNA from 1 species